UACGUGGGGUGCAAGCGUUGUCCGGAAUUAUUGGGCGUAAAGAGCUCGUAGGCGGUCUGUCGCGUCGAAUGUGGAAAUCCGAGGCUCAACCUCGGACCUGCAUUCGAUACGGGCAGACUGGAGUACUGCAGGGGAGACUGGAAUUCCUGGUGUAGCGGUGGAAUGCGCAGAUAUCAGGAGGAACACCGGUGGCGAAGGCGGGUCUCUGGGCAGUAACUGACGCUGAGGAGCGAAAGCGUGGGGAGCGAACAGG
rnacentral:rRNA from 1 species